CCUGCUGUCUCUGAGGAUCAAGAGCAGACCUCAGUCCCUAGUGCUGUCAAUCCAGCACAAAGAAAAAACUCCAAUCCAGAACAAGACAAAACUCUGGUACGAUAACCACUGAAUCACAUUAUCUUUUUCCCCUAUAAAAUGAGAUGAAGUGGAAGAUCUCAAAGCCGUUGGUUCCAGCUCCAUCAGACACAAUCUGCGAAUGAGCUGUCAAGGUGAAAGAAGAGCUAGGAGUACAACCAUGAUUUGCACCAGCACACCUGCUUCCUGUAAUCUGCACGGCCAGACAGUCACGCGCUGGGAGGUCGAAACGGGAGUUGACCGCUUAGAGCCUGGAGGAAGGGCUGCCCGCAGCCACAGAUUUCCUGAAUUUUCCCCCUAAAAAAAUGAAAAAUAUCAGACGGCAUGUUAACAAAGUUCCCAGUGGAUGCCUGUCUUAUAAUCCAUUCAGCAUGCAGGCAGCACUCUCUGAAUGUGGGAUCUGAUUCUUCUGCAGGAACCUUCCAGAUGGCACUCGGAGUCAUUGAAAUAGACGAGAAGGGCCUAUAAAAACACUACAAACAUUGUACACUGUACAUCCAUAAAAACUGUAUAAAAAAUAAAAUAAUAACAACAACAUUUAUUAAUAAGGUUGGCAGUAAAAUUGAAGUGGUUGUUAUAAUUGACUGUUUUCAAAGUAUUCUCACUCAUGUACAGAAUUAAUGAUUGGUCCUAUUAUUGAUCUUUUUAAUGUAUUUUAUUUGUAUUAACAUAUGUUCUGGACCCAAUGUUUUAUUGUCUGUAAUUUACAGCUUCUCACUACUACACUAAAAGCCUGAUUUUCUUGAGAAGCAGGUGGGACCCCACGUCACCAUUUAAAGUACCUAAACCCCAGCCUUUCCACACUCCUCUUCAGAAGCACGAAGUGAAAAAGGAAGACAGUGAUGAAGACUCACAACUUCAGUUAAUUGGUAACAUUUUGUUCCUGGAGCUCAAGUCAUGGCUUUGACAACAGUUCAGUUGGUACAUUGUGUUGUUCAUCACAUUAGCUCUUUCCAAAAACAAACCUUCCAUAGUUAUCAAUAGUACAGUACAUUAAUGUUUCAGGCAUUUUUUAUUUUAAAGUCAAGCCAAGCCAAGCCAAGCAAGAUUGUAUGCAAACCAUACAGCUAUCACAUUACUUGCAAUACUACACAGUGGUAGGUACUAAUGGAAAUGUAAUUGAAACAUAUACAACUUAAUUGAAACUUUUCUAAAACAUAAAUUAUGAGCGGGGUCCUCAGGUGGCUCAGUGGUGUGCAGGAUAAGUCAUACAGUCAGGGCAGCACAGAUUCAUAUCCUGGCUGUGUGAAGUUGCCACAUGGAGUGUUGCAUUAACUAGGGAGGCAAAAGCAACAGGCACUUCUUUCUCCUCAACGCACUAUGUUCCCUGUUUCACCAAUCUUCAAGCAUUUCUUGUCCUGUUUAAAUGAGUGGAGGUUAUAGUUUGAGAUGGAAACCUGUCUACUAAGAACUGAAUCUGGUCAAGUCAAUUUCAUUCAAACAGCAAACAUAUGGAUUAGACUUCCCAUUACAACUGACCUGAGAAAGUCUAAACAGAUUCCCACUGACUGAUGCAAGAGUAUACGACGCAAAUGGCUCAAAUAUAAUUAUUUUUAUUAUUUAAUUUUUUUACUCCAUAAUAUGAAGAAUGGAUAUGUUAAACAACUUGAGUAAUGUUCGAAAAAGGGAUCGGAGAUUUCCUUUAACCUGAUUGGUCAAUACGAGGGUCUUAAUCUCCGGUAAAGGACCUCGAGUGUUAUCUUUCAAACUAUGCUUAAUCACUGUUCCAAAUUAAUCCACUGGAAAAUAUGGAAACACAGUAUUCGUGUAUGUUACUUUUUUUUCUGCUUGAUGAAAAAACAGUUGUUCUUGUACACACCCCCCUCUGAUUACUGUCUGUCAAUAUAGACUGCUUCCUCGCUGUCCUAUACAUUCAAUCUAUCUAUUUCAAAUUAGUAUAGCAAAUAACGUUUUAAAAAAUUGAGAAUAGUGUUUGUUGUCAGUGGCAAUCCAGCAACCACAAUAACAACUAGUCUCCGUUUUGAAUGACGAGUUGAAGAAAUCAAACAAGUGGAUGCAGCCUGAUUACUUUCAGCAACGUUGUUUCAGCAUAUCAGAGUGGCACACAGAAGGGUGCUCUCUUCUCUAAUUAAGCCAGGAAAGAGGUUUUGAAUAAACUUUAUGAACACUGUGAAAUAGUUACUAAACAAACAGCACAAACAGCAUUAGCACACAGACUAGAUAUUUUGAAUUACUAAAACUUUAUUAUUUGUUUAUUUCACUGAUACAUUUUGGAACCUAACACUAACUUAAAUAUUGAAAUUACACAAAUACAUGAACCAGCCCUCAAACCCUAAUACAAAAUGUGAAAGUUAGCUUUACUUUUAUUCUUUUACAUGUUUUACAAGCACUUCACAAACCGUGUUUGUUUUUCUGUACGAGGUACCUGGACUGAAGAAUAGCUGCAUGUAACUAGAAGAUUUCGGAUUUUAGCAUUGAGGUAUAAGUUAGGUUAUUGGAAAUACCCACAAUUCGGCAUAGUCCACCACUGGGAUAAUGAACCCAGAGUGAAGGCUACCAGACCACAAACAGAAUUCUGAGCAAACCACAUUUCUCAUAGGUUGAUCCCCGGAGCCAGCAUUGC